rnacentral:rRNA from 1 species
UACGUAGGGGGCUAGCGUUGUCCGGAAUCAUUGGGCGUAAAGCGCGUGUAGGCGGUCCGGUAAGUCCGCUGUGAAAGUCGGGGGCUCAACCCUCGGAUGCCGGUGGAUACUGUCGGGCUAGAGUGCGGGAGAGGCGAGUGGAAUUUGUAGUGUAGCAGUGAAAUGCGUAGAUAUUACAAGGAACACCAAUGGCGAAGGCAGCUUGCUGGACUUCUUCUGACACUGAGGUACGAAAGCGUGGGGAGCGAACAGG